rnacentral:rRNA from 1 species
UUAGGAUGAACGCUAGCUACAGGCUUAACACAUGCAAGUCGAGGGGUAGCAGGGUAGCAAUACCGCUGACGACCGGCGCACGGGUGAGUAACACGUAUCCAACCUUCCCAUAACUCAGGGAUAGCCUUUCGAAAGAAAGAUUAAUACCUGAUAGUACUUUUUCAAGGCAUCUUGAGAAAGUUAAAGAUUUAUUGGUUAUGGAUGGGGAUGCGUUCCAUUAGAUAGUUGGUGAGGUAACGGCUCACCAAGUCUUCGAUGGAUAGGGGUUCUGAGAGGAAGGUCCCCCACAUUGGUACUGAGACACGGACCAAACUCCUACGGGAGGCAGCAGUGAGGAAUAUUGGUCAAUGGGCGAGAGCCUGAACCAGCCAAGUAGCGUGAAGGAAUGAAGGUCCUAUGGAUUGUAAACUUCUUUUAUAGUAGAAUAAAGUGAUCCACGUGUGGAUUUUUGUAUGUAUACUAUGAAUAAGGAUCGGCUAACUCCGUGCCAGCCGCCGC